AUUGAACGCUGGCGGCAGGCCUAACACAUGCAAGUCGAGCGGAUGAAGGGAGCUUGCUCCUGGAUUCCGCGGCGGACGGGUGAGUAAUGCCUAGGAAUCUGCCUGGUAGUGGGGGAUAACGUCCGGAAACGGGCGCUAAUACCGCAUACGUCCUGAGGGAGAAAGUGGGGGAUCUUCGGACCUCACGCUAUCAGAUGAGCCUAGGUCGGAUUAGCUAGUUGGUGGGGUAAAGGCCUACCAAGGCGACGAUCCGUAACUGGUCUGAGAGGAUGAUCAGUCACACUGGAACUGAGACACGGUCCAGACUCCUACGGGAGGCAGCAGUGGGGAAUAUUGGACAAUGGGCGAAAGCCUGAUGCAGCCAUGCCGCGUGUGUGAAGAAGGUCUUCGGAUUGUAAAGCUCUUUAAGUUGGGAGGAAGGGCAGUAAGUGAAUACCUGGCUGUUUUGACGUUACCAACAGAGUAAGCACCGGCUAACUACGUG
rnacentral:rRNA from 1 species